rnacentral:rRNA from 1 species
CCUACGGGAGGCAGCAGUGAGGAAUAUUGGUCAAUGGCCGUAAGGCUGAACCAGCCAAGUCGCGUGAAGGAAGAAGGAUCUAUGGUUUGUAAACUUCUUUUAUAGGGGAAUAAAGUUAUCCACGUGUGGAUAUUUGCACGUACCCUAUGAAUAAGCAUCGGCUAACUCCGUGCCAGCAGCCGCGGUCAUACGGAGGAUGCGAGCGUUAUCCGGAUUUAUGGGGUUUAAAGGGUGCGUAGGUUGUUUUUUAAGUCAGCGGUGAAAGUUUGUGGCUCAACCAUAAAAUUGCCGUUGAAACGGGAGACCUGAGUGUGGUUGAGGGAGGGGGGAUUCGUGGUGGAGCGGGGAAAUGC